CUACGGGUGGCUGCAGUGAGGAAUAUUGCACAAUGGGGGGAACCCUGAUGCAGCAACGCCGCGUGGAGGAUGACGCAUUUCGGUGUGUAAACUCCUUUUAUAUGUCAAGAAAAUGACGGUAGCAUAUGAAUAAGCACCGGCUAACUCCGUGCCAGCAGCCGCGGUAAUACGGAGGGUGCAAGCGUUACUCGGAAUCACUGGGCGUAAAGGACGCGUAGGCGGGUUUGAAAGUCAGGUGUGAAAUCCUACAGCUUAACUGUAGAACUGCACUUGAAACUUCUAAUCUAGAGUAUGGGAGGGGAGAUGGAAUUAGUGGUGUAGGGGUAAAAUCCGUAGAUAUCACUAGGAAUACCUAAAGCGAAGGCGAUCUCCUGGAACAUUACUGACGCUAAGGCGUGAAAGCGUGGGGAGCAAACAGGAUUAGAUACCCGAGUAGUC
rnacentral:rRNA from 1 species